ensembl:lncRNA
GUGGCUGGCUCUUGGGCUUCACAGGUGCAGAAACCUGAUCUGCUCCCAACAUCAAUUUCUUGGCAACGGACACACUUUAGCCACAGUCACAAAGACAUAACCACCUCAAGGAGCACCCAGUGUCUUCAAAUUCUCUGCUUCGGAGCCCUGGGACACAGAAAUGCUCUUGCAUCGUGCUGGUUUGUAUUUCCCCAAGCUUGUGUUCCAACGUUCUCUAGUUUGCUCAGGUGUUGAGCAUUGUGGCAGACACUAAUUAUUGCUCCCAGAAUUUGCUCUACUUCAUCUCCAAAUAUUUGCUUCGCACACAACUGCUCAGAAUAGAAUUUCCAUUCCCAAGCUUUCCUUGUAGCCAUGUAUCUGAGUUACUGUUGUUGUAUAAUAAAUCACCU